UACGGAGGGCGCAAGCGUUGUUCGGAAUUACUGGGCGUAAAGCGUGCGCAGGCGGUUUUGUAAGCCAGAUGUGAAAUCCCCGGGCUUAACCUGGGAAUGGCAUUUGGGACUGCAAGGCUUGAGUGCGGCAGAGGAGACUGGAAUUCCUGGUGUAGCAGUGAAAUGCGUAGAUAUCAGGAGGAACACCGAUGGCGAAGGCAGGUCUCUGGGCUGACACUGACGCUCAUGCACGAAAGCGUGGGGAGCAAACAGG
rnacentral:rRNA from 1 species